UACGUAGGGUGCGAGCGUUGUCCGGAAUUAUUGGGCGUAAAGAGCUUGUAGGUGGCUCGUCGCGUCGGGAGUGAAAACCCGCGGCUUAACCGCGGGCCUGCUUUCGAUACGGGCGGGCUAGAGUUCGGCAGGGGAGACUGGAAUUCCUGGUGUAGCGGUGGAAUGCGCAGAUAUCAGGAGGAACAUCGGUGGCGAAGGCGGGUCUCUGGGCCGAUACUGACACUGAGAAGCGAAAGCGUGGGGAGCGAACAGG
rnacentral:rRNA from 1 species